rnacentral:rRNA from 1 species
CCUACGGGAGGCAGCAGUGGGGAAUAUUGCGCGAUGGGCGAAAGCCUGACGCAGCGACGCCGCGUGAGGGAUGAAGGUCUUCGGAUCGUAAACCUCUGUCAGCAGGGAAGAACGGUCACUGUGCUAAUCAGCAGUGAAAUGACGGUACUUGCUGAAUAAGCCACGGCUAACUCCGUGCCAGCAGCCGCGGUAAUACGUAGGUGGCAAGCGUUAUCCGGAUUUACUGGGUGUAACGGGCGUGUAGGCGGGACUGCAAGUCAGAUGUGAAAACCAUGGGCUCAACCCAUGGCCUGCAUUUGAAACUGUAGUUCUGGAGUGUUGGAGAGGCAGGCGGAAUUCCGGGUGUAGCGGUGAAAUGCGUAGAUAUACGGAGGAACACCAGUGGCGAAGGCGACCAGCUGGACAAUAACUGACGCUGAGGCGCGAAAGCGUGGGGAGCAAACAGGAUUAGAUACCCUGGUAGUC